rnacentral:rRNA from 1 species
AAACCAACAGGGAUUGCCUUAGUAGCGGCGAGUGAAGCGGCAAAAGCUCAAAUUUGAAAUCUGCCUACAGGCCGAGUUGUAAUUUGGAGAUGGCAUACUGUAGUGAACCUUUGCUCAAGUCUUCUGGAAAGGAGCAUCAUGGAGGGUGAUAAUCCCGUGAGGCAUUGGGUAGCUGCGUGUAGUUUGCCUUCGAAGAGUCGAGUUGUUUGGGAAUGCAGCUCAAAGUGGGUGGUAGACACCAUCUAAAGCUAAAUAUUGGCGAGAGACCGAUAGCGAACAAGUACUGUGAAGGAAAGAUGAAAAGCACCUUGAAAAGGGAGUGAAAAAGUACGUGAAAUUGUUAGUGUGGAAGGGUAUACAAUUGGGGGUGUUGUGUGUAGUUCUCCUUCGGGGGGGCGUUUACUAUUCACCAGCCAGCGUCAGUUGUGGUGCCAGGAUAAAAGUCUAGGAACGUAGCUGCUUGCAGUGUUAUAGCCUAGGCCUAUACUGGCCACUGCGACUGAGGACCGCUUAUAGGACGCUGGAGUCAUGAUUGUAUACCACCCGUCUUGAA